GACGAACGCUGGCGGCGUGGAUUAGGCAUGCAAGUCGAACGGUAUCAUCCUUUCGGGGGUGAGAGAGUGGCGAACUGGUGAGUAACACGUAGGUUAUCUACCCUCAAGACGGGGACAACCCAGGGAAACUUGGGCUAAUACCGGAUGUGAGCAACUUUUAGUUGUUUGAAAGGUGGCGUAAGCUGUCGCUUGGGGAUGAGCCUGCGUCCUAUUAGUUAGUUGGUGAGGUAACGGCUCACCUAGGCAAUGAUAGGUAGGCGGCCUUAACGGGUGGUCGCCCACACUGGGAUUGAGAUACGGCCCAGACUCCUACGGGAGGCAGCAGUCGAGAAUAGUCUACAAUGGCCGAAAGGCUGAUAGUGCGACGCCGCGUGAACGAAGAAGCCCUUCGGGGUGUAAAGUUCUUUUAUAUGUGAGCAGUGCUUUCUAUGUGAACAGCAUGGGGAGAGAGAUAUUAGCAUAUGAAUAAGCAACGGCUAAACUCCGUGCCCAGCAGCCGAC
rnacentral:rRNA from 1 species